rnacentral:lncRNA from 1 species
UGAAGAUGGCGGUGUAGAUGACCAGCAGCAGGAUGAGCCAGUCCCACACCGCCUUGAAGGGGCUGUAGUGCAGGAUGGUCCAUUUGUGGAUGCGCGGUGCCUGCAGCUUGUACUCGGGGAGGACGUCGGCACCCAGGGACAGCACCUGGGUGACCUUCUCGGUGACGUUGUGGGUGCGGUCCUUCAGUUUGGUGGGGGCGAUGAUCUCCUUCUCUCCGGACGGCGCCCCC